ACGGAAGGCAGCAGCUAAGAAUAUUCCGCAAUGGGGGAAACCCUGACGGAGCGACGCCGCGUGGAUGAUGAAGGCCGGAAGGUUGUAAAAUCCUUUUAAGCAUGAAGAAUAAUCAGGACAGGUAAUGGUCUUGAGGUGACGGUAGUGCUUGAAUAAGCAACGGCUAAUUACGUGCCAGCAGCCGCGGUAAUACGUAAGUUGCGAGAGUUGUUCGGAAUUAUUGGGCGUAAAGGGCAUGUAGGCGGAUAUUCAAGCUUGGUGUGAAAGGCGGGAGCUUAACUCCCGGACUGCGUUGAGAACUGCAUAACUAGAGUGACUGAGGGGCAGGCAGAAUUCCAGGUGUAGGGGUGAAAUCUGUAGAUAUCUGGAAGAAUACCAAUGGCGGAGGCAGCCUGCCAGCAGAUGACUGACGCUGAGGUGCGAAGGUGCGGGGAGCAAACAGGAUUAGAUACCCUGGUA
rnacentral:rRNA from 1 species